rnacentral:rRNA from 1 species
UCUGAAAGAGAUUAAAGAUUUAUCGGUGAUGGAUGGGGAUGCGUCUGAUUAGCUUGUGGGCGGGGUAACGGCCCACCAAGGCAACGAUCAGUAGGGGUUCUGAGAGGAAGGUCCCCCACAUUGGAACUGAGACACGGUCCAAACUCCUACGGGAGGCAGCAGUGAGGAAUAUUGGUCAAUGGGCGAGAGCCUGAACCAGCCAAGUAGCGUGCAGGAUGACGGCCCUAUGGGUUGUAAACUGCUUUUAUAAGGGAAUAAAGUGAGUCUCGUGAGACUUUUUGCAUGUACCUUAUGAAUAAGGACCGGCUAAUUCCGUGCCAGCAGCCGCGGUAAUACGGAAGGUCCGGGCGUUAUCCGGAUUUAUUGGGUUUAAAGGGAGCGUAGGCCGGAGAUUAAGCGUGUUGUGAAAUGUAGACGCUCAACGUCUGCACUGCAGCGCGAACUGGUUUCCUUGAGUACGCACAAAGUGGGCGGAAUUCGUGGUGUAGCGGUGAAAUGCUUAGAUAUCACGAAGAACUCCGAUUGCGAAGGCAGCUCACUGGAGCGCAACUGACGCUGAAGCUCGAAAGUGCGGGUAUCGAACAGGAUUAGAUACCCUGGUAGUCCGCACGGUAAACGAUGGAUGCCCGCUGUUGGUCUGAAUAGGUCAGCGGCCAAGCGAAAGCAUUAAGCAUCCCACCUGGGGAGUACGCCGGCAACGGUGAAACUCAAAUGAAUUGACGG